AUACGGAGGGUGCAAGCGUUAUCCGGAUUUAUUGGGUUUAAAGGGAGCGUAGGCGGGAUUGUAAGUCAGUGGUGAAAGCCCGUAGCUCAACUACGGAACUGCCAUUGAUACUGCAGACCUAGAGUACACUUGAAGUGGGCGGAAUGUGUCAUGUAGCGGUGAAAUGCUUAGAUAUGACACAGAACACCAAUUGCGAAGGCAGCUCACUAAAUUGUAACUGACGCUGAGGCUCGAUAGCGUGGGGAUC
rnacentral:rRNA from 1 species